CUUAAUAGCAGGCUUAGACUGGUUCUGAGGGUACACAAAAGAAAAGGACAUGGGCUUAUUUCAUGUCUCUCCGUGAGUGGACAGGAAGAGAAUAAAGUCAGACAGAUUAUGGAAAAAAGACGUGUGGUGUUUGCCUCUAUGCAAAGCAUCAAGAGGAAAUCUUCCAUUGUGGAAAAAAGGUAGAGCCACAAAACAAGACAACAGUUCCAGAUCAACUCUGGAUGUACUCAGUGCCAUUUCAUUGGAUUUACUAAUCAGUGGUUCCAGAUAAGAAGGAUACACUUCUAAUCAAGACAGUGAGAAAAGAUACAGAUAAGUCUGACUUCCUUAAAUUGUGACAUUUCAAUGGACAAGUAAAGUUGUUCAGAGGACACUGGGAAAACCAGGAGUGAUAUGAAGACUUUCCUUGACUUUUCUGUGCUGAUACAGACUGCUUGGAAUAAUCGGUGAGACUUCUCCAGGAUAUCGAAGCCCAGGAAGAAAGGAAAUUGAAAUGGUUCUUCUAUGUUUUUUCUUCCCUCUUUUUAAAGGGUUCUAUAGAGGAAAUGUUAAGUCAUGGCCUGAACCAGUGAUUGAGCACCUGGUGGGAAGGCAGGGCCAAUCCAGGGAGUUCAGGUGCAUGCAAUGUACCUGAGUGACUGGAAGUGGUGGAGUCAGGAUCCAUGCCUUCCCAGACCUCAUUUAAGGGCUGGCAGUGGAGGAGAAGGUAUCUUGCUUGAGAUUCCUGUGUCCCUGAGGCCUUCUGAAGGGAACCUCGUGUUUCAAGCCUUAUGUUACACAACUGCAAUAGGACUUGAGCUACUCUUAAACAAGAGUAAACAUCUAGUUUACGAGAUCCUGAAAUCUCCUUUGCUAGCAGUUUAGAAAGAUCGAUUGGGAAAAUGUGCUUGAGGCAUCCGUCAACUUCAGUCUUGCCAUCAGCUGGAGAAGUCAACUGUAUGGUGUUUCCUUGAAUAAAUUUGCUGGUGUGACUGAAUUCACAAAACACUGACUGAGUCGGAAUGAACUGCUUUUCUUGCUCCAAAAAUAAUAACUUACUACAGGAAAUGCAUUUGUGAGCUUUACCUGGUAAGAACACCAAAUCAAGCUUUACUAUAUCAUUUUUUAGCAGAAUGGAAAUGCACUGAGAGCAAUUGUUUGUGCAAGUCUGUACGUGAAUGAGAAGAGUAACAGAUUGCUGUUGCAGUGUUCAAGAAGGUAACAUGGAUUACUGCAGUCAAAUUUCCAGAACAUUGAAUUUCUAUGUAGAUAGCUGUGUCAGUGACCUAGAGGUCCUGACUGAAGAAUGAUCCUGUGUUGGAGCAAAGCUUUCUGACAAAAUAACUGGUGGCUUCAUGACAAGAACUGUGGACCACAUGAAAGUUCUGAGGAAAACAGGACUUGCAGCUGGAGCUGCUUCUCUUGUUUCAGUAGGAAGCUGGCUUUACUAGUUUGUUUUGCAAAGAACUUUUUUCCUGCAAGCAGGUGUUCCUCGUGGGCUGCACAUCAAGCACUGGCCCCACAGAUGCAGUAUGCAAGUGAAAAGAACCCUGAAGAGAAUAAAAACAGGAGGGAGCUGUGGCAGAUUUGUGAGAAAGGAAGCACACCUUGAAACAGGGGAUGCCCUGGUGACAAUUCUUGCCAAAUGCACUGCGUGUUUUUUGUCCUACUCUGCCUUUUGUCCCUCUCUCAAGAAUUAGCAAGUAAUAUUGCAUUUUGCUUAAUGAGUCUUCUGCUGACCUAAUUGAGGUAACUGAAAUUAUCUGGAAUAGAUGCCUAUGUGUGUAUUCAAUAAAUUUUGUAAUCCUUUGUGCCUCUGAGUUUGUAACUUGCUUGCUUCCGCUCCUGAGGCAUCCUAUCUCUCAGAUUUAUAUAUACCCUGAAUCAGUGGCUUACCUUGACCUUUUUUUUAAUCCUGUUUCCUAAUGACCUAAGAAAACUUAGUGUUUCCAAGUAUCCAUAGUAAACACAAACCUAGAUGCAUGCUGCAGAAGCAUUUCACCCACCCAACUGCACAUCAGAAGAUGUCUGAGAAGAAACCACAUACUUCUGUCAGGCAAAAGGAGUUACUACACUUGGUGACCUCUUGUAAGAAGUCAUUCUUUUACGCUAUUGCCUCAAAGCUUGAGGAGGGACACAGAUAAACAAGUUCAAG
ensembl:lncRNA